AACCAACUGAGCCACCCAGGCGCCCUGUAACGUGAUUUCUUUACAACAGUUUCUACCUGGGGCACCUGGGUUUCUCAGUCGCUUCAGCAGUUGCCUUCGCCUCAGGUCCAGGCCCUGGGAUCCAG